CCUGCCCCUAGAAGCAUCGCACGUGUGGCUGCUGUGUCACAUAUGCGUCAGUAGGUGGCAGAGAGGAGAGAGGCUAUGUCUGGGCUCAAGUGUUCUGACCUGUGAACAUCUGAAUGAAUCGAAGCCUAACAUU
ensembl:snoRNA Gm25408 small nucleolar RNA SNORA17